rnacentral:rRNA from 1 species
UGGCGAACGGGUGAGUAACACGUGGGUAACCUGCCCAUCAGAAGGGGAUAACACUUGGAAACAGGUGCUAAUACCGUAUAACACUAUUUUCCGCAUGGAAGAAAGUUGAAAGGCGCUUUUGCGUCACUGAUGGAUGGACCCGCGGUGCAUUAGCUAGUUGGUGAGGUAACGGCUCACCAAGGCAACGAUGCAUAGCCGACCUGGGAGGGUGAUCGGCCACACUGGGACUGAGACACGGCCCAGACUCCUACGGGAGGCAGCAGUAGGGAAUCUUCGGCAAUGGACGAAAGUCUGACCGAGC